UACGGAGGAUGCGAGCGUUAUCCGGAUUUAUUGGGUUUAAAGGGUGCGUAGGCGGCGAGUUAAGUCAGCGGUAAAAGCCCGGGGCUCAACCCCGGCCCGCCGUUGAAACUGGCUGGCUUGAGUUGGGGAAAGGCAGGCGGAAUGCGCGGUGUAGCGGUGAAAUGCAUAGAUAUCGCGCAGAACCCCGAUUGCGAAGGCAGCCUGCUGGACUGUAACUGACGCUGAUGCUCGAAAGUGUGGGUAUCAAACAGG
rnacentral:rRNA from 1 species